CCCGCUGAACUUAAGCAUAUCAGUAAGCGGAGGAAAAGAAACUAACAAGGAUUCCCCCAGUAACGGCGAGUGAAGCGGGACCAGCUCAAAUUUGAAAUCUCUGCCGUAGGGCAGCGAAUUGUAGUCUAAAGAAGGAGAGGCAGGAUGGGUGGUGGACCAAGUCCCCUGGAAUGGGGCGCCAAAGAGGGUGAGAGCCCCGUGACGUCCACCGGCCCGUCCGCAGUCCGAUCCUCUCGACGAGUCGAGUUGUUUGGGAAUGCAGCUCAAAGCGGGUGGUAAAUCUCAUCCAAGGCUAAAUACUGGCAAGAGACCGAUAGCGAACAAGUACCGUGAGGGAAAGAUGAAAAGCACCUUGAAAAGGGAGUUAAAUAGUGCGUGAAAUUGUUAAGAGGGAAACGAUAGAGACUAAUGAUUGUGUGAUUUAGUGUCUCGGCUCUGGUCGGGAUGCAGAGGCACGCAGAGUCAAUGCUGGUUGUCGCUGCUGGAUGUGCCCUGCGGGAAGGUGGGAUCACGGAAACGUGAUUCUUUAUAGAUCGCAGGUGCGGCAGUCGCGGCGACCAGAACGGUGCGGAACGACGGCGACAAUGCGGGCGGAGCAAGGAUGGACAGCAUGCUGACCGUCUCCAUGCCGCCUGCUGAGUUGCUGGCCGACUGCACGCCAAUUGACAUAAUGGUCUUUAACGACCCGUCUUGAAACACGG
rnacentral:rRNA from 1 species